AUUGCGACUAUGUUAUUAUUAUACUCAAUGUUUUAAUACCAGCUGUACCUAUAGUAUUCUAAUCCACGUCGUUUAGUAAAAUGCACGUAGUGCAAAUACUAAUUUGACUACAUUAUUAUGCUGCUGUUACGUUUACGUGCAGUAAAUGGAAUGCCCGAAUGCAUACAAUAUUAGACUGGUAAAUACCUACAUAAUAAUAGUAUAGGUAUAAAAUUUAAAGAAA